CGGCGCCCCCCAGCAACAGCAGGGUGGUGCCAUAUUGGUCCUGAGCCAGGCCUAGCCACCGGUGACGGCGGGACUCUCUGGGAGGCCGGCGGUCCUCGGGUGUAGAGGGAGACAGCUGCCCGGGGGCACGGGCGAGCACCUCUGGGGGUCCCGGAUCCUAGACCCGCGGCCCCGGGCCCUACUCUGUGUGGAGUCUCUCGCUGGACCUGGAACUCAGGGAUCCUAGGGAGGUCAGCUGGAAGGGAAGACACGCCUCUCCAUACCAAGCCUGAGGUUCACUGCAAAAGAGAGGCCGCCGCCCUGCCCCCACCCUGCCCCCACCCUGCCCCAAACCCGCCCCAACCUGCUCCUCCAGCAGAGCCCUGUGUUCUUCCUGUCUGAGGAGUGGUUCCAGCAAAGCGGGCUCUUCCACGUCCUUCAGCUCCCCCAGUGGCGCCGGAUCUAGGAAAGGUUGUGCCUUUUGCUGAAACUCUGGGGUUGACAGGAGCUCAUCUAACAGGCUGGAGGUGAGUGCAGACGAGAGCCCCGGCUCCUGGAGCGGUUGGGAGGUGCCCGGUUGGCUGGCAUCUGCGCUUGACGCGGAGGCCUCCGGGGUCACGAGCUCGGGAGGUGAAGGUGCCCCGUCUUCGGGUUCCCAUGCCGCCCUGGCGACCUGGGGCUCCAGCCCCACCACGGACUCCGGUGGGACGUGGGUGGUGCAAGCACACCUUUCCCCUGUGACUCAGCUUGAGGGGCCCCAAGCUGUCCCACUGAGCACGCGCCCAGCAGGCCGUCGCGCUGUGGGUUCUGGUCUUCCUGUCAUUUGUUGGGGUUCGGAGGCCACCAGGGAGUCUGAGGAUGGGAGAGCCCCAGUUUCGGAGGGAGGGGCCAGGACAGUGAACACAAAGCCCCGCAUGCUCGGGCAGGUUGGGAGAGUCCUUCUGCCUGUGCAGCCUGGCUGGGCUGGAGCAGGGGGAUGACCCUUGCUUCCUGGCUCACGAAAGCCCCCUGUGGGAGAGCCCCAGGAGCGCAGGGCAUGUGGGGUGCAGGAAGCGACGUUCCCCACGCCCCGGUGUAGGUGAACCCGAUAGAGGAGGGAGGAGGGUGACACCCACCAGGGGUGCUAAUUAGUAACCACAGUGGCCUCAAAGAACUCAAAUGAAAGGAAGACUUGCAAGUCUCUCACUUUAAGUCCAGAGCUAGAAAUGAUUAAGCUUAGUGAAGAUGUAGAAUUUUCAUAGCUAGAGAGAAGUCAACACUUGGCUUCAGAACUUCAAAGGAUGGGCUGACUCUCUUUGAGGACCACUGCAGCUGGUGACUUUAGGUUACAGCCAGUGCUCAUUGACCACUCUGAAAAUCUCAGGGCCCUUAAGAAUUAUGCAAAAUCUAUUCUUUCUGUGCUCUAGAAAUGGAACAUCACUGUCUGGGUGACAGCACAUCUGUUAAUAGCAUGGUUUACUGAAUAUUUUAAUCCCACUAUUGAGACCUACUGCUCAGAAAAAAAAAAAAAACGAUUCUUUUAAAAAGAUUGUUGGUUGGCCAGGCAUAGUGGCUCAUACUUGUAAUCCCUGCACUUUGGGAGGCUGAGGAUCACCUGAGGUCAGGAGUUCAAGACCAGCCUGGCCAAAAUGAUGAAACCCCAUCUCUAAAAAAAAAAAAAAA
rnacentral:lncRNA from 1 species